UACGGAGGAUGCGAGCGUUAUCCGGAUUCAUUGGGUUUAAAGGGUGCGUAGGCGGACUAUUAAGUCAGUGGUGAAAUCCUGCAGCUUAACUGCAGAACUGCCAUUGAUACUGAUAGCCUUGAGUUUGGUUAAGGUAGGCGGAAUGUGUAAUGUAGCGGUGAAAUGCUUAGAUAUUACACAGAACACCAAUUGCGUAGGCAGCUUACUGAGCCGACACUGACGCUGAGGCACGAAAGCGUGGGGAU
rnacentral:rRNA from 1 species